CCAUGAUGAAAAGGGUGUUAAAUGAAGACUUAGGGCUUCGGGCAUAUCUAAGAAAAACAGGACAUCGUUUGAAUGCUCGUCUAAUGGA
rfam:Bombyx mori DNA, contig: Bm_scaf133_contig39210, strain: p50T/Dazao, build 2, whole genome shotgun sequence.